AAGAGGACAUUCAAAGCCAAAAAAAAAAGGACACUCAUAAUGCAAGCAAAUAGAUAGGGUUUUAAUAGCAUUUUAAAGGUGGCAAAAAAUCAGCCAACCAUCAAUUUAAGAGUAGCUCUACAAAACACAUAAAAAUGGCAGAAAACAGCAAAAAAUUGCAUAUUGCAGUAUUUCCAUGGCUAGCUUUUGGCCAUAUGAUUCCGUAUUUGGAGCUAUCAAAGCUCAUAGCUCAAAAAGGUCAUAAAUUUUCAUUUAUUUCUACUCCAAGAAACAUUGAUAGUCUCCCAAAACUUCCGCCAAGUCUCGCCCCUUUUUUAAAUUUCGUCAAAAUCCCCCUUCCCCACGUCGAAAAAUUACCAAAAAAUGCAGAAGCCACUACUGAUUUAUCUUAUGAGCAAGUCAAGUACCUCAAACUUGCUCAAGAUGAACUCAAAGAACCCAUGGAUAAGUUUCUCGAAGAUUCAGCUCCUGAUUUCAUACUCUUUGAUUUUACCUCUUAUUGGCUUCCUUCAAUUGCUUCAAAAUUCAACAUUCCGACGGGUUAUUUCAGCAUAUUCGUCGCUGCAUAUGUAGGUUUCACUGGACCUGUACCGGGAUUGAACAAUAACUAUGAAAUUCGGAUGACGUUGGAGGAAUUGACAGUUUCCCCAAAAUGGGUUCCGUUUGAAACUGCGGUUGCUUUCAAGGAGUUUGAACUUUUGAGGAUCUACGAAGGUUGCAAAGAAGGCGAGGAAGAGAACUUUUAUGAUAUUUCUCGUAUGUAUAAGACUUUUGAAAAUUGUAAUUUUUUGCUUGUGAGGAGUUGUUUAGAAUUUGAACCGGAAUGGCUGAAAGUAGUAGAGGAUAUUCACCCAAAACCGGUGAUCCCGGUGGGCCAGCUUCCGACAACAUCAUAUGAAGAUGACAACACAGAUAUUGACGCGUGGAGAGAAAUAAAAUUAUGGCCUGAUAAGCAAGAAAAAGGGAAAGUGAUCUAUGUGGCAUUUGGGAGCGAGGCAAAACUGAGUCAAAAUGAACUGAGUUAUCACUAGGAUUAGAGCUUUCUGGGUUAUCUUUUUUUUGGGUUUUAAGAACUAAAAGAGGAGAAUCCGAUGAUGAAUUGAUUCAACUACCAGAAGGUUUCGAAGAACGAACGAAGGAAAGAGGAAUAGUGUACACGAGUUGGGUGCCACAACAUAAAAUACUGAGUCAUGACUCGGUGGGUGGUUUUUUGACUCAUGCCGGAUGGAGUUCAAUAGUUGAAGCAAUACAAUUUGAGAAACCAUUGCUUCUGUUGACAUUUUUGGCUGAUCAAGGAAUAAAUGUUAGGCUCCUGGAGGAAAAGAAGGUAGCAUAUCUGAUACUGAGAAAUGAUUGGGACGGAUCAUUCACUCAUGACGCGGUGGUUGAGUCAUUAUAUUUGGUACUCCUUGAAAAAGAGGGUGAAAUUUAUCGAAAAAAAAUCAAAGAGGUGAAGAAUCUUUGUUGUGACAAGAAAAGACAAGAUGAUUAUGUGGAAAAUUUGUUAAGGUUUCUCCAAAAUUAUAAAAAUAAGUAUAAAAUAGGAAGUAACAUUUACAUUUGCAUGCACUUUUUGGAGAAUUGUGAUUUUAUGAAUAAAGAUGUUAUAUUUUUCUUUUUAUGUACUAUAACAAAAUAUAUUGUAAAGGUGUAAAGAUUGCUUUGAUUUUUAUUUCACUA